AUACGGAGGAUCCGAGCGUUAUCCGGAUUUAUUGGGUUUAAAGGGAGCGUAGGUGGAUUGUUAAGUCAGUUGUGAAAGUUUGCGGCUCAACCGUAAAAUUGCAGUUGAAACUGGCAGUCUUGAGUACAGUAGAGGUGGGCGGAAUUCGUGGUGUAGCGGUGAAAUGCUUAGAUAUCACGAAGAACUCCGAUUGCGAAGGCAGCUCACUAGACUGUUACUGACACUGAUGCUCGAAAGUGUGGGUAUCAAACAGGAUUAGAUACCCUGGUAGUCCACACAGUAAACGAUGAAUACUCGCUGUUUGCAAUAUACAGUAAGCGGCCAAGCGAAAGCAUUAAGUAUUCCACCUGGGGAGUACGCCGGCAACGGUGAAACUUAAAGGAAUUGACGGGG
rnacentral:rRNA from 1 species